GGGAGCUAAAUCCGAUAAAGGGAAGGAAAAAGUAGUUGAAUAGCCGUCGAAAUCGCUCGACAACAUCCAAGGUUUCGCUCGUUAGCUAUCGGAUUCGGGAUCAAAGAAGUCGAAGUCAUCCACACUAUCGAAGCCCCAUUUUGGUACAAAUUUUGGUUGAACUUUGAAAUGGCAUGUAUAGGACCAUCCUUUGUUGAAGGUCAUGUACCUUCCGGUUUGUGUAAACUUGGAUAGCCAUGCGAAAAUGGCUUAUAUACGUUUUUAGCAUAGAACUAUAAUCGUUUGUAUGUUGACCCUUAUGAGGUAUGGAAUUAUUUUGAAACGAUUAA